rnacentral:rRNA from 1 species
UACGUAGGUGGCAAACGUUAUCCGGAAUUAUUGGGCGUAAAGGGUGCGUAGAUGGCAUAAUAAGUUAUUGGUGGUAAAUCGAGGCUCAACCUCGUGGAAGCUGGUAAUACUGUUAUGCUCGAGUGCAGAAGAGGUUAACGGAACUCCCUGUGGAGCGGUAAAAUGUGAAGAUAUAGGGAAGAACACCAAUAACGGCGAAGGCAGUUAACUAUUCUGCUACUGACAUUGAGGCACGAAAGCGUGGGGAGCAAAACGG